GAAGUGGAUUUAACAGGUGACAUCAAUAAGGUCUCAUAGCUUCCACCUGGAUUCACCUGAUCAAGAGUUCCUAAUGUUUUGUACACUCAGUGUAUAUUUGGCCUCACUAAAAAGUGAAUUUGUCUCCCAGUGUCUGUUGCAAAGCAGAUUGAACCAGGUUUUCCUUUAGGAUCUUGCCUGUGCUUAGCUCUAUUCCAUUUAUUUUUUGUCUUAAAAAAACUCCCUAGUCCUUGCCGAUGACAAGCAUACCCAUAACAUGAUGCAGCCACCACCGUGCUUGAAAAUAUGAAGAGUGGUACUCAGUAAUGUGUUGUGUUGGAUUUGCCCCAAACAUAACGCUUUGUAUUAAUUUCUUUGCGAAUUUUCUUUUCUGUUUUACUUUAGUGCUUUAUUGCAAACAGGACGCAUGUUUUGGAAUAUUUUUAUUCUGUACAGGCUUUCUUCUUUUCACUCUGUCAUUUAGGUUAGUAUUGUGGAGUAACUUCAAUGUUGUUGAUCCAUCCUCAGUUUUCUCCCAUCACAGCCAUUAAACUCUGUAACUGUUUUAAAGUGAACAUUGGCCUCAUGGUGAAAUCCCUGAGCGGUUUCCUUCCUCUCCGGCAACUGAGUUAGGAAGGACGCCUGUGUCUUUGUAGUGACUCGGUGUAUUGAUACACCAUCCAAAGUGUAAUUACUAACUUCACCAUGCUCAAAGGGAUAUUCAAUGUGUGCUUUUUUAUUUUUACCCAUCUACCAAUAGGUGCCCUUCUUUGCGAGGCAUUGGGAAACCUCCCUGGUCUUUGUGGAUGAAUCUGUGUUUGAAAUUCACUAUUCGAUUGAGGGACCUUAUGUGUGGGGUACAGAAAUGAGGUAGUCAUUAAAAAAUCACAACAUUUCAAUGUAAUCCAUGUUAAAUUCAGGCUGUAACAACAACAUCUCAAUGUAAUCCAUGUUAAAUUCAGGCUGUAACAACAUCUCAAUGUAAUCCAUGUUAAAUUCAGGCUGUAACAACAACAUCUCAAUGUAAUCCAUGUUAAAUUCAGGCUGUAACCACAUCUCAAUGUAAUCCAUGUUAAAUUCAGGCUUUAACAACAUCUCAAUGUAAUCCAUGUUAAAUUCAGACUGUAACAACAUCUCAAUGUAAUCCAUGUUAAAUUCAGACUGUAACAUCUCAAUGUAAUCCAUGUUAAAUUCAGACUGUAACAUCUCAAUGUAAUCCAUGUUAAAUUCAGACUGUAACAGUAGUAGUAUGUAACAUCAUGUAUGUAACAGUAGUAGUAUGUAACAUCACAUCCUGUUUGUAACAGUAGUAGUAUGUAACAUCACAUCCUGUAUGUAACAGUAGUAGUAUGUAACAUCACAUCCUGUAUGUAACAGUAGUAGUAUGUAACAUCCUGUUUGUAACAGUAGUAGUAUGUAACAUCCUGUAUGUAACAGUAGUAGUAUGUAACAUCACAUCCUGUAUGUAACAGUAGUAGUAUGUAACAUCACAUCCUGUAUGUAACAGUAGUAGUAUGUAACAUCAUGUAUGUAACAGUAGUAGUAUGUAACAUCCUGUUUGUAACAGUAGUAGUAUGUAACAUCCUGUAUGUAACAGUAGUAGUAUGUAACAUCCUGUUUGUAACAGUAGUAGUAUGUAACAUCACAUCCUGUAUGUAACAGUAGUAGUAUGUAACAUCACAUCCUGUAUGUAACAGUAGUAGUAUGUAACAUCCUGUUUGUAACAGUAGUAGUAUGUAACAUCACAUCCUGCAUGUAACAGUAGUAGUAUGUAACAUUUGAUUUCCCCUGUAUUUAACAGUAAAGGUUUUUGAACACACAACGUGUGUGUUAUUUUUCCUUCUCAGAAGACUGCCUCCCUGUCACGUCCUGACCAGUAUAAGGGGUCAUUUCGUUAUUGUAGUUUGGUCGGGACGUGGCAGCGGUGUGUUUGUUUAGUGUGUUUCGGGGUUUUUUUUGUUCUAUGUUUUCUAUUUCUAUGUGGGUUUUCUAGUUUUUCUAUUUCUAUGUUAGUUUUGGGAACGACCUCCAAUUAGAAGCAGCUGGUUGUUGUUGCUUCUAAUUGGAGGCCAUAUUUAAGUGGGUUAAUUUUCUCUUGUGUUUGUGGGUGGUUGUCUCCGUGUGUAGUUAGUGCACCUUACAGGACUGUUCUCGUCGUUCUUUUGUUCAGUGUUUAUUUUCUUUAAAUAAAUCAAGAAGAUGUUUCAUCUA
rnacentral:lncRNA from 1 species